AGGAAUUUCAAGAUCAAAAACAAAACGAGUAUCGCUCAUUUUUCGUAAGGAAUCAUAAUAUGCAGAGUAUCGCAGCAAAAGGCGAAUCGAUUAUAUGUAUGAAGAAAUAUAACCGUGAGUACAUUGCUUAAAUUCAAAAGAAAAUCAAAGUAUAUCACUCAUCAAGACUUUAUCGUCAAAAAGGAAAUACGAUAAAGUAAAUACAUCCUCC
rnacentral:lncRNA from 1 species